UAGGGAAUCUUCCACAAUGGACGCAAGUCUGAUGGAGCAACACCGCGUGAGUGAAGAAGGUCUUCGGAUCGUAAAACUCUGUUGUUAGAGAAGAACAUGCAGGAGAGUAACUGUUCUUGUAUUGACGGUAUCUAACCAGAAAGCCACGGCUAACUACGUGCCAG
rnacentral:rRNA from 1 species